rnacentral:rRNA from 1 species
AGAGUUUGAUCCUGGCUCAGCGUGAACGCUGGCGGUACGCCUUAUACAUGCAAGUCGAGCGGAAAGGCUCUCUUCGGAGAGUACUCGAGCGGCGAACGGGUGAGUAAUGCAUAAGAAACCUGCCCUUUAGUUUGGGAUAACUGGCCUAACGGCCAGCUAAUACCGGAUGUGAAAUUAAGCUGGCAUCAGUUAAAUUUUAAAGGCUUCGGCCGCUAAAGGAUGGUCUUGUGUGACAUCAGCUAGUUGGUGAGGUAGUGGCUCACCAAGGCAACGACGUCUAGCCGACCUGAGAGGGUGAUCGGCCACAUCGGGACUGAGAUACGGCCCGGACUCCUACGGGAGGCAGCAGUAGGGAAUUUUGCGCAAUGGAGGAAACUCUGACGCAGCGAUACCGUGUGUGGGAUGACGCCCUGCGGGGUGUAAACCACUGUCACUGGGGAAGAAUCAAAUGACGGUACCCAGAGAGGAAGCACCGGCUAACUCCGUGCCAGCAGCCGCGGUAAUACGGAGGGUGCAAGCGUUACGCGGAUUUACUGGGCGUAAAGGGUUCGUAGGCGGUAAGUUAAGUCUGUUUUUAAAGACCUCAGCUCAACUGAGGGAGUGGAAUAGAUACUGGCUUGCUAGAGCGCGAGAAGGGAAAGUGGAAUUCCAGGAGUAGCGGUGGAAUGCGUAGAUAUCUGGAAGAACGCCGAAGGUGAAGACAACUUUCUAGCUCGUUGCUGACGCUGAGGAACGAAAGCGUGGGUAGCAAAUAGGAUUAGAUACCCUAGUAGUCCACGCCGUAAACGAUGAAUGCUAGACAUUGGGUAUGUAAUAAUAUUCAGUGUCGCAGCUUACGCGAUAAGCAUUCCGCCUGGGGAGUACGUUCGCAAGAAUGAAACUCAAAGGAAUUGGCGGGGGCCCGCACAAGCGGUGGAUCAUGUGGUUUAAUUCGAUCCAAACCGAAGAACCUUACCAGGGCUUGACAUCCUGAUCGUAUUCUCUGGAAACAGAGAAGUCAGCUUGGCUGGAUCAGUGACAGGUGUUGCAUGGCUGUCGUCAGCUCGUGCCGUGAGGUGUUCGGUUAAGUCCGGCAACGAGCGCAACCCUUGCCUAUAGUUACCGGCGGAUCAUGCCGGGGACUCUAUUGGGACUGCCCGGGUAACCGGGAGGAAGGAGAGGAUGACGUCAAGUCAGCAUGGCCCUUAUGUCCUGGGCUACACACAUGAUACAAUGGCACGUACAGAUGGAAGCGAAGCCGCGAGGUCAAGCAAAUCCCACAAAGCGUGUCUAAGUGCGAAUUGCAGUCUGCAACUCGACUGCAUGAAGUCGGAAUCGCUAGUAAUCGUAGAUCAGCAAGCUACGGUGAAUACGUGCCCGGGCCUUGCACACACCGCCCGUCAAGUCACCCGAGUCGGGGGCAUCUGAAGCAGCUGUACUAACCCUUUGGGAAGAAAGUUGCAAUGAUGAACUUGGUAAGGGGGACUAAGUCGUAACAAGGU